rnacentral:sRNA from 21 species
GAUGAAGCAAGAGGAAGAGGUCACUAUGCGCCAGUUCUGGUUGAGAUAUUUUGCCGCGACGGAAAAAACGUCCUGGCUGGCUUGCCUGAGCGCGCCGCAGCGCUUAAAAAUGCUCGCGGAACUGAUGCAGUGGGAGGCGACCGAUUGAAGCCAAUUGCAGACAUCAUGUGUGACUGAGUAUUGGUGUAGGCGAUAGCCUAAAAUCACCCGCCAGCAGAUAAUAUCUGCUGGCUUUUUU